rnacentral:tRNA from 1 species
GGGGGAUUAGCUCAGCUGGUUAGAGCGCUUGCAUGGCAUGCAAGAGGUCAUCGGUUCGAAUCCGAUAUUCUCCACCA